CAGGGGCUUUUUCAUUUUAUUUUUAAUGUCUGAGAAGCAACACGAGAAUUCUGCCUGGGAGGCAGGAGAGGCAGCUUAAAAGAAGCUUCUAGAUCUCUUGUGAGAUGCUGGAUUAUAGAAUAAACAUGCCUAAUAAAAUCUCCCUGGUUACCCAGCUUUGAGGAUUUGGAAAUAACUUUAAGACUGUUUCUUGGAGGAAUUACUUCACUGCAACUGGAAGGCUACCUUCUCAGGGCACCACAUCACAGCUGAGGACUUUGGGAUAAAGAUAUCAUCCAUCACUGAGGUCUGAGUCUCUGCAUCCAGGAUACCUGCACGGCCUUCUGGGGAUGUAGAGAGACCGAAACCAACCACUUCAUCCCCUCAGCUAGAGGGCUGCUCUUCUCCACGUGCAUACCGUGACUUAAUUUGGGACUUUUCCUUAGGUACGCAGUUUUUACUGUUUUCCCUG
rnacentral:lncRNA from 1 species